GGAUGAGCCCGCGGCCUAUCAGCUUGUUGGUGAGGUAGUGGCUCACCAAGGCGACGACGGGUAGCCGGCCUGAGAGGGCGACCGGCCACACUGGGACUGAGACACGGCCCAGACUCCUACGGGAGGCAGCAGUGGGGAAUAUUGCACAAUGGGCGAAAGCCUGAUGCAGCGACGCCGCGUGAGGGAUGACGGCCUUCGGGUUGUAAACCUCUUUCAGCAGGGAAGAAGCGAAAGUGACGGUACCUGCAGAAGAAGCGCCGGCUAACUACGUGCCAGCAGCCGCGGUAAUACGUAGGGCGCAAGCGUUGUCCGGAAUUAUUGGGCGUAAAGAGCUCGUAGGCGGCUUGUCACGUCGGUUGUGAAAGCCCGGGGCUUAACCCCGGGUCUGCAGUCGAUACGGGCAGGCUAGAGUUCGGUAGGGGAGAUCGGAAUUCCUGGUGUAGCGGUGAAAUGCGCAGAUAUCAGGAGGAACACCGGUGGCGAAGGCGGAUCUCUGGGCCGAUACUGACGCUGAGGAGCGAAAGCGUGGGGAGCGAACAGGAUUAGAUACCCUGAUAGUCCACGCCGUAAACGGUGGGCACUAGGUGUGGGCAACAUUCCACGUUGUCCGUGCCGCAGCUAACGCAUUAAGUGCCCCGC
rnacentral:rRNA from 1 species